GUCGGAUUCUGGGUCACGUGGGCGGCCCGGCCGGCGCCCGCCGCCAUCUUGUGCGCUUCCCCCUUACAGUGGCGUAGAUCUUAAUGGAGGCGCGGUGAGCCCGCUGCCAGGGAUUCGAGCGCGUUGACUCAGAGACAAUUUGCUGGAGGAAGUUGGGCAGCUAAUGAGUACUUGAGUCAAGCGUUAAGUCAGUACUGGAGUCUUCACAAAUCCUGCUCCCUGUCUGUUAAACUCAAGGCAAGCUCAAUGUAACAGAAGGUGAAGACAACAGAAGAGACACAUAUAGCAGCAAGAAGAAAUGAAAGAGGCACAUCAGUAAAUCUGGUGUGCUGUGCAUUCUCAUUGCGAACUGGUUUGAACUGAUAAGCUAGUAGUUGCCUAAAUCCAAAUAGGCACCUAUUCAAGAUGGCUUCUAUAAAUAUAUUAAGCAGCAUUAGUAUUACUCUUUGAAGAAGGCAC